GAUGAAGAACGCAGCGAAAUGCGAUAAGUAGUGUGAAUUGCAGAAUUCAGUGAAUCAUCGAAUCUUUGAACGCACAUUGCGCCCUUUGGUAUUCCUUAGGGCAUACCUGUUCGAGCGUCAUUUAAACCCUUCAAGCUCAGCUUGGUGUUGGGUGACUGUCCGCCGCCCCCGGGCGCGGACUCGCCCCAAAUUCAUUGGCGGCCGGUACGUAGGCUUCGAGCGCAGCAGAAACGCGAACUCGGGCCCGCGGUGUCGGCUCCCAGAAGCCAUCUCUUUUAUUUUGACCUCGGAUCAGGUAGGGAUACCCGCUGAACUUAAGCAUAUCAAUAAGCGGAGGA
rnacentral:misc_RNA from 1 species